CCCCGCAGGCCGCCAUGGCGAACGUCGCCGACACCAAUCUGUACGAUAUCCUGGGUGUCCCGCCCGGCGCCAACGAGAACGAGCUGAAGAAGGCAUACAGAAAGUUAGCCAAGGAAUAUCAUCCUGAUAAGAAUCCAAAUGCUGGAGACAAAUUUAAAGAAAUAAGUUUUGCAUAUGAAGUACUAUCAAAUCCAGAAAAGCGUGAGUUAUAUGACAGAUAUGGAGAGCAAGGUCUUCGGGAAGGCAGCGGUGGAGGUGGUGGCAUGGAUGAUAUUUUCUCUCACAUUUUUGGUGGAGGUUUAUUUGGCUUCAUGGGUAAUCAGAGUAGAAGUCGAAAUGGCAGAAGAAGAGGAGAAGACAUGAUGCAUCCACUCAAAGUAUCCUUAGAAGAUCUGUAUAAUGGCAAAACGACCAAACUACAACUUAGCAAGAAUGUACUCUGUAGUGCAUGCAGUGGUCAAGGUGGAAAAUCUGGAGCUGUCCAGAAGUGUAGUGCUUGUCGAGGUCGAGGUAUACGCAUCAUGAUCAGGCAACUGGCUCCAGGAAUGGUGCAGCAGAUGCAGUCUGUGUGUUCUGAUUGUAAUGGAGAAGGAGAGGUAAUUAAUGUUCAUGUAGACAAAGGCAUGAAACAUGGACAGAGAAUUACAUUUACUGGGGAGGCAGACCAGGCCCCAGGAGUGGAACCAGGAGACAUUGUUCUUUUGCUGCAAGAGAAAGAACAUGAGGUGUUCCAGAGAGAUGGGAAUGAUUUGCACAUGACAUAUAAGAUAGGACUUGUUGAAGCUCUGUGUGGAUUUCAGUUCACUUUUAAGCACCUUGAUGCACGUCAGAUUGUGGUGAAGUACCCCCCUGGCAAAGUAAUUGAACCAGGAUGUGUUCGUGUAGUGCGAGGUGAAGGAAUGCCACAGUAUCGUAAUCCCUUUGAAAAAGGUGAUCUUUACAUAAAGUUUGAUGUGCAGUUUCCGGAAAACAACUGGAUCAACCCCGAUAAGCUUUCUGAACUAGAAGAUCUUCUUCCGUCUAGACCUGAAGUUCCUAACAUAAUUGGAGAAACUGAGGAAGUAGAGCUCCAGAAAUUUGAUAGCACUCGAGGCUCAGGAGGUGGUCAGAGGUGGGAAGCCUAUAAUGAUAGCUCUGAUGAAGAAAGCAGCAGCCAUCAUGGGCCUGGAGUGCAGUGUGCGCAUCAGUAAACUCUGCAGACAAAUUGCACAGGUGGAUUUUCUUUCCACAUUUGCCUGAUUUAUUAUCAGUGAUCCAGCUGGAGUGUGAUCAAUCCAGAUGAACUGAUGGACAUCUGUUGGUCUCUGUAACUUUUACAAUUGGUAUAGUAUCUUACAGAGUGUAUAAUUUAAACUAACCACAAAGCUUUACAUCUUCAUUUUGACUGUUCUGUAGCAGAAUAAAGCACUUGAAAGGAAACAAGACUCCCUUUCACACUGG